GACGAACGCUGGCGGCAUGCCUAACACAUGCAAGUCGAACGGAACUUGUUGAAUGAAGUUUUCGGAUGGAUUUUGACAAGUUUAGUGGCGGACGGGUGAGUAACGCGUGAGCAACCUGCCUUUCAGAGGGGGACAACAGUUGGAAACGACUGCUAAUACCGCAUGAUGUGUCGGGAUCGCAUGAUCCUGACACCAAAGAUUUUAUCGCUGAAAGAUGGGCUCGCGUACGAUUAGAUAGUUGGUGAGGUAACGGCUCACCAAGUCGACGAUCGUUAGCCGGACUGAGAGGUUGAACGGCCACAUUGGGACUGAGACACGGCCCAG
rnacentral:rRNA from 1 species